GACGAACGCUGGCGGCGCGCUUAACACAUGCAAGUCGAGCGAAGCGGCGGACGGGUGAGUAACACGUGAGUAACCUGCCUUAGACAUUGGGAUAGCCUCGGGAAACCGGGAUUAAUACCAAAUGGUAUAAGAUGGACUGGCGUCCCAUUAGCUAGUUGGUGGGUAACGGCCCACCAAGGCGACGAUGGGUCGCCGGCCUGGGAGGGUGAACGGGCACUGUUGAACUGAGGAACGGUCCAAACUCGACGGGUGGCAGCAGUGGGGAAUAGUACACAAUGGAGGUAACUCUGAUGCAGCGACGCCACGUGAACUAAGAAGGCUUUCUAGUAGUAAAGUUCUUUUAUAUGGGAAGAGGUACCAUAAGAAAAAGCCCCGGCUAACUACGUGCCAGCAGCCGCGGUAAUUC
rnacentral:rRNA from 1 species